UACGUAGGGUGCAAGCGUUGUCCGGAAUUAUUGGGCGUAAAGAGCUCGUAGGCGGUUUGUCGCGUCGGCUGUGAAAACCCGGGGCUCAACCCCGGGCCUGCAGUCGAUACGGGCAAACUAGAGUGUGGUAGGGGAGACUGGAAUUCCUGGUGUAGCGGUGAAAUGCGCAGAUAUCAGGAGGAACACCGGUGGCGAAGGCGGCCGCCUGGACCUGACCUGACGCUGAGGCGCGAAAGCUAGGGGAGCAAACGGG
rnacentral:rRNA from 1 species